rnacentral:rRNA from 1 species
CCUACGGGCGGCAGCAGUGAGGAAUAUUGGUCAAUGGGCGGAAGCCUGAACCAGCCAAGUAGCGUGCAGGAUGACGGCCCUACGGGUUGUACACUGCUUUUAUACGGGAAUAACGCGCCUUACGUGUAGGGCUUUGCAUGUACCGUAUGAAUAAGGACCGGCUAAUUCCGUGCCAGCAGCCGCGGUAAUCCGGAAGGUCCGGGCGUUAUCCGGAUUUAUUGGGUUUAAAGGGAGCGUAGGCCGCAGUUCAAGCGUACUGUGAAAUGUCCGGGCUCAACCCGGGCCUUGCAGCGCGAACUGGCGUGCUUGAGUCCGCGGAAAGCAGGCGGAAUUCGUCGUGUAGCGGUGAAAUGCUUAGAUAUGACGAAGAACACCGAUUGCGAAGGCAGCUUGCUGCAGCGGAACUGACGCUGAUGCUCGAAAGCGCGGGUAUCGAACAGGAUUAGAUACCCCUGUAGUC